UACGGGGGGGGGCAAGCGUUGUUCGGAAUUACUGGGCGUAAAGGGCUCGUAGGCGGCCAACUAAGUCAGACGUGAAAUCCCCUCGGCUUAACCGGGGAACUGCGUCUGAUACUGGAUGGCUUGAGUUUGGGAGAGGGAUGCGGAAUUCCAGGUGUAGCGGUGAAAUGCGUAGAUAUCUGGAGGAACACCGGUGGCGAAGGCGCUCUGCUGGACCAUAACUGACACUCAGGGACGAAAGCUAGGGGAGCGAAUGGG
rnacentral:rRNA from 1 species